rnacentral:rRNA from 1 species
CUACCUUUAUCUGGGGGAUAGCCCGAAGAAAUUCGGAUUAACACCCCAUAAUAUAUUUGGAUGGCAUCAUUUGGAUAUUAAAACUCCGGUGGAUAGAGAUGACUGUGCGUCCCAUUAGCUAGUUGGCAGGGUAACGGCCUACCAAGGCGACGAUGGGUAGCUGGUGUGAGAGCACGACCAGCCACACGGGCACUGAGACACGGGCCCGACUCCUACGGGAGGCAGCAGUGAGGAAUAUAGGUCAAUGGACGCAAGUCUGAACCAGCCAUGCCGCGUGAAGGAUGAAGGCGUUCUGCGUUGUACACUUCUUUUAUCUGGGAAGAAACCUACGAUUUCUAUUGUAGCCGACGGUACCAGAGGAAUAAGCACCGGCUAACUCCGUGCCAGCAGCCGCGGUAAU